AAUAUUAGGACAUAUAAAAAAAGACAACUCUGUUCCGCAGAGUAGCUGUUGACAUUAUAGUUGCGCAGGCACUUUGUUGACUCUAGAGAACCUUGGGCCAAUCGCACAUCCCCGUGGUGGUGACUUUGCAUGUGGAUGUCAUCCAUAUCAACUUUUGAUGCCAGUUUCUGCGCCUACCAUGGUGACCCCGGGUAACGGGGAAUCAGGGUUCCACUCCGUUCAGGGACCCUUAGAAACGGCUACCACGUGCAAAGAAGGCAGCAGGCGCGCAAAUUACCCACUCCCAACGCGGGAAGGUAGUGA